rnacentral:rRNA from 1 species
GACGAACGCUGGCGGCGUGCUUAACACAUGCAAGUCGAACGGAAGGGCCUCUUUCGGGGGGUACUCGAGUGGCGAACGGGUGAGUAACACGUGAGUAACCUGCCCUUGACUUUGGGAUAACUUCAGGAAACUGGGGCUAAUACCGGAUAGGAGCUCCUGCUGCAUGGUGGGGGUUGGAAAGUUUCGGCGGUUGGGGAUGGACUCGCGGCUUAUCAGCUUGUUGGUGGGGUAGUGGCUUACCAAGGCUUUGACGGGUAGCCGGCCUGAGAGGGUGACCGGCCACAUUGGGACUGAGAUACGGCCCAGACUCCUACGGGAGGCAGCAGUGGGGAAUAUUGCACAAGGGGUGGAAGCCUGAUGCAGCAACGCCGUGUGCGGGAUGACGGCCUUCGGGUUGUAAACCGCUUUCGCUCAUGACGAAGCUUUGUGUGACGGUAGUGGGUAAAGAAGCACCGGCUAACUACGUG